ACCGAUUUUCGGUAAUUUCCACACAAAGGUGGAAUAUUGGCGCUAGAUGAAAGGUAGACCUAUUUUCUACAAUGUCUCCAAGUUCCAUCUUAUUCUAACCACUUGUUUGCAUGUAACUAACAUUUUUCUAUAUCAUGUUGGUUUUUUCUCUUUAAUGCUCAGGAGCCCAGGUAUCGGGGACAGUUAGGUUCAGGGCCUCAGGUCUGGUAGGAUUAAUUUAUCAUUCAAGAUUAUCAAGAUACUUUUUUAAGAAAAGGAAGUAAAAUGAAAUAUACCAAGGUGACAUAGGCACUGAGGAUUUUGUUUUUGUACUUUCUCGCCUAGAAUCAGUAUUUAUAACUUUCUUUUUAUUAAAUUGAUUGGGGUGACAUUGAUCAACAUGAAUAUAUAGGUUUCAGGUGUGGAUUUCUAUGUUAUAAGAUCUGUAUAUUGCAUUGUGUGCCCACCAUCCAAAGUCAGAUUUCCUGUCACCUUAUAUUGGGACCCCUUUCUCAAGUUUUCACAGCACCAUUUAUUGAAGAGACUGUCUUUACUCCAUUGUGUUUCUGGCUCCUUUGUCGAAAUUUAUCUGUCCAUAUGCAUGUGAUUUUAUAGCUGGGCUCUCUGUUCUGUUCCAUUGAUCUGUGUCUGUUUCUCUGCCAAUACCAUGCUGUUUUGAUUAUUGUAAUUCUGUAGUAUAAUUUGAAGUCAGGUAGCGUGUUACCUCCAGCUUUGUUCUUUUAUCUCAGGAUUUCUUUGGCUUUUUGGGGUCUUUUGCGGUUCCAUACAAAUCUGAUGAUUUCUCAUUCUACUUCUUAAAAACAUGACAUUGGGAUUUUGAUGGGGAUUGCAUUAAAUCUGUAUAUUGCUUUGGGCAAUAUGGCCAUUUAUGUUGAUUCUUCCCUUCCAUGAACACAGAAUACUUUUCUAUUUUGUUGUGUCUUUCUCAAUUGCUUUUAAAUAAUGCUUUGUAAUUUUCAAUAUAUAGGUCUUUCACAUUCUUUGUUAUGUUUAUUCCUAGGGACUUCAUUCUUUUGGUUGCAAUUACAAAAGGAAUUGGGUUUGUUGGGGUUUUUUGUGUGUUUUUCUUUUCAUUUCUGAAGUUUUGUUGUUAGUAUACAGGAAGGCAGUGGAUUUUUGCAUGUUCAUUUUGUAUCCUGCAAGUUGACUGUAUUUGUUUAUUGUUUCUAAUAGUUUUUUGGUGGAGUUUUUAGGGUUUUCUAUAUACAGAAUCAUGUUGUCCACAAAAAGUGACAGUUUGACUUCUUCCUUCGCUAUUUGGAUGCUUUUUAUUUCUUUCUCUUCCCUUAUUGCUCUGGCUAGGACUUCCAGCACUAUGGUGAAUAAGAGUGGUGAGAGUGGACAUCCUUGUCUUGUUCCUGAUCUUAGAGGAAAAGCUUUUAGUUUUUCACCAUUGAGUAUGAUAGUAGCUGAGGUUUUAUCAUAUAUGUCCUUUAUUAUGUUGAGGUGUUAUCAUAUAUGGCUUUUAUUAUGGCCUUUCCUUCUACUCCUAUUUUAUUGAAUGUUUUAAUCAUAAAUGAUGUAUUUUAUCAGAUGCUUUUUCUGCAUCUAUUGAUAAGGUCAUAUGAUAUUUAUUCUUUCUUUUGUUAAUGUGUAUUAUGUUGAUUGUUUUGCGUAUGUUGAACCAUCCUUGAGACCCUGGAAUGAACCCCACUUGAUUGUAAUGUAUUAUUUUUUGGAUGUACUAUUGUAUUUGAUUUGCCAGUAUUUUGUUUAGAAUUUCUGCAUCUGUAUUCAUUAGAGAUAUUGAUCUGUAGUUUUCUUUUUUUGCAUUAUCUUUGCCAGAUUUUGGUAUCAGGGUUAUAUUGGCCUCAUAGAAUGUGUUGGGAAGUAUUGCCUCUUCAAUUUUUUGGAAGAGUUUGACAAUGACAGGUUCUAAAUCUUCUUUGACCAUUUGGUAGAAUUCACUGAUGAAGCCAUCUGGUCCUGGACUUUUGUUUUUGGGGGAAGAUUCUGAUGGUUGUUUCAAUUACUUACUGCUGAUUGGUCUAUUCAGAUUUUCCAGUUCUUCAUGAUUCAGUCUAGGUAGGUUAUAUAUUUCUUUUCUUGUUUAUUUUUUAUUGCACAUUACUCCUUUAUUAUACUGAUCUGGAAAAAACAUUUAGUAGUUAUGUUUCAAAAUGCUUACUGGGCCCAAGUGGCAGGGCCACACAACUGCAACAUGAUUUAGAACUUAGACACAGUGAAAGACAUCCCUGGACAUGAUCAAGAGACAUUUCACUGCCAUGAAACAAUAAAGCAGAGGAGGGAUUCUAAAAUACACAGCAGGGUAACUCCUACACCUUACAAGUCAAGGAGCUCAUCCCACCUUGGUGUGAAGAAUGGCUUAUAUUGUGAUGACCGCAUGUGGGAAUAGUUCAACCGCUACUAGAAACCCCAGUAGGGUAUUUGUUUUGUAUUAUUUUAUAUAGAUACACUUU